ACGGGUGAGUAACGCGUGGGAACCUGCCCUGGAGUGGGGGAUAACCGAGGGAAACUUCGGCUAAUACCGCAUACGCCGGGAAACCGGGAAAGAUUUAUCGCUCGAGGAGGGGCCCGCGUCGGAUUAGGUAGUUGGUGGGGUAACGGCCUACCAAGCCUUUGAUCCGUAGCUGGUCUGAGAGGAUGAUCAGCCACACUGGGACUGAGACACGGCCCAGACUCCUACGGGAGGCAGCAGUGGGGAAUAUUGGACAAUGGGCGCAAGCCUGAUCCAGCAAUGCCGCGUGAGUGAUGAAGGCCUUCGGGUUGUAAAGCUCUUUCGCACGCGAGGAUGAUGACGCUAGCGUGAGAAGAAGCCCCGGCUAACUUCGUGCCAGCAGCCGCGG
rnacentral:rRNA from 1 species